rnacentral:rRNA from 1 species
UUUUAUGGAGAGUUUGAUCCUGGCUCAGGAUGAACGCUGGCGGCGUGCCUAAUACAUGCAAGUCGAGCGAACGGACGAGAAGCUUGCUUCUCUGAUGUUAGCGGCGGACGGGUGAGUAACACGUGGAUAACCUACCUAUAAGACUGGGAUAACUUCGGGAAACCGGGGCUAAUACCGGAUAAUAUUUUGAACCGCAUGGUUCAAAAGUGAAAGACGGUCUUGCUGUCACUUAUAGG